rnacentral:misc_RNA from 1 species
GAUGAAGAACGUAGCGAAGUGCGAUAAGUAAUGUGAAUUGCAGAAUUCCGUGAAUCAUCGAAUCUUUGAACGCAAAUUGCACUUUCUGGUAUUCCGGAGAGUAUGCCUGUUUGAGGGUCAGUGUAAUAAAUAAAUCGUGGUUGUUACCACCUUUCGUGGUGACGCUUCGGAAUUGAGUCCUCUUACCCUUCGGGUUAAGUGACUUAAAAUUUUUUCAUACGAUUUCGAAACGUAUUUAAUGUAUUAUGUACGUUCACGAAUAUCGAAUGUUUAUUAGGUGCGGUCAUUUUUCAUGAAUUCGCGUCUAUAAUUUUUUUUUUUUGACCUCAAAUCAGGUAAGAAUACCCGCUGAACUUAAGCAUAUCAAUAAGCGGAGGA